rnacentral:rRNA from 1 species
UGGGGAAUAUUGCGCAAUGGGCGAAAGCCUGACGCAGCAACGCCGCGUGAGUGAUGAAGGCCUUCGGGUUGUAAAGCUCUUUCGGCCGGGAAGAAGGGUCAUUUGUCGAAUAGGCAUUUUGAUUUGAUGGUACCGGAAGAAGAAGCACCGGCUAACUUCGUG